GUGCCAGCAGCCGCGGUAAUACCGGCAGCUCAAGUGAUGUCCCAUAUUAUUGGGCCUAAAGCGUCCGUAGCUGGCCGCGCAAGUCCAUCGGGAAAUCCACCCGCCCAACGGGUGGGCGUCCGGUAGAAACUGGCCGGCUUGGAACCGGAAGGCUCAGAGAGUACGUCCGGGGUAGGAGUGAAAUCCCGUAAUCCCGGACGGACCACCGAUGGCGAAAGCACUCUGAGAAGACGGAUUCGACAGUGAGGGACGAAAGCUAGGGUCUCGAACCGGAUUAGAUACCCUAGUAGUCC
rnacentral:rRNA from 1 species